rnacentral:tRNA from 1 species
GCGUUGGUGGUUUAGUGGUAAAAUUCAUCGUUGCCAUGAGAGUUGAGUUCUUCCGAGAAAUCAACACCAUGAUUCGAUGAGCCCCGGGUUCGAUUCCCGGCCGACGCA